UUAAAGAAAAAUAUUUUUAAUAAAAAUUGAAAAUAAAAAUGAAUUUUUUCCCUUUCUGUUUUCAAGAAAAAGAAAAGAAACAAAAAAGAGAAGAAAAAAGAAAAUUGAAUAGAUGGACCUGCUAACAGAUUGAAAUACGACUGAAAUUACUUCGUUUUCCUGUAGAAGGCAGACUACGAAGUGCUUUAUAGUCCAUAAACCAAGCUGGUGGUGAGCCUUGUGUUCUUGAAGAGCGAAGUUGGCCCAGUUGGGCGGGGCUCGCUGUAACAGCUCCGCUCUCCACCAGAUGGCGCUGCUAGCCUACUGGGGUGGAGUGUUGCAGCACCAGCGAAUGUGGCCGUUCUCUGGGGUCUUCUGCGACCAGGUGGCCUCAACAGUCUCUACCAAAUGUUCUUCCAGCAGUGGAACCACUUUUUCCCGUGUGGCCCAAGAACCUCCCGGACUCCACUCUGCUCCUGGGGAUUCACACUUCCGACCCGAGCACCACCAGGUAUGGAGCUGUGGAGUUUCAGACUCUGCAUUCCCCUUGUUUACAGUCUUAAUGGAAUUUAAACCCUCGCCUUUCUCCUGUUUUAGUUCAGUCCCUGUGGCUGUUUCUAAUUUUCUGCUUUCUCUCCAGCUGCUUUUGGGGAAGGGUGCUUUUCCUGUUUUCUCCCCCCUCCCCGGUCUCCGUCCUCUCUCUGCCUGCAGAAGCACCUCCCUUCCCGCGGUUUCUCUCUCCCCCAGUUCAGCUCUCCGCGCUGCAUCCCUGCUGAAUUCUGUGGUUCAGGUUGUGCAGAUUGUUGUGUUAGUCCUCCAAUCAGUUUUCUAGGUGUGCAGGAUGGUUUAGUGUUGGUCUGGCUGUAUUUCAUGCAUGCGAGACACACAAAAAACUUCCAUGCUGUUCCGCCAUCUUGGCUCCCUCCCUCCCCUUCUUGUUUUUGUUUGUUUGUUUGUUUUUGUUUAUUUUUUUAUGUUAGAGAGAGAGAGAGCGAGAGCGAGUGCAUGGAUGUGCAUGUGCGCAUAAGCAGGGAAAGGGCAGAAAGAGAGAGGGAGAGAGAGAAUCCCAAACAGGCUCAGGACUGCCAGCAAGGAGCCCAACGUGGGGCUUGAACUCUCCAACCAUGAGAUCAUGACCUGAGCCGAGAUCAAGAGUCUGACACUUAACUGACUGAGCCGCCCGGUUGCCUAUCUUUUUGUUUCUCUCUCUCUUUUUGAUAGUUUAUCUUCAGUUUAUCUGGGGGAAUGGGGAGUAGAUGGUUCCAGGCCCCUGUGCCCACUCUGAAGACCACUGUGGCUCAGGGGACCUGGCUUCCUGCCUCUAGGGGUAAAGCAAUAGUUCUAAGCAUAAGGGAAGGGAGACAAAUGUCUCAGAUGAGAUGACUGCUCAGGCAUUGCUCAGAAUGACUCUGGAGGCCUAAGCCCUCUAUUCUUGAGCCUCCUGUUCUCUCCCCACUUCCUGUCCCACUCACCCCUUCUCAGUGCUUCUGGGGCCCCUCCCACUUUUGGAGGAACCCAAAUGAAGACCCCUGUCCCAGUUUAGCUCUCUGAAAACAUCCCAGGUUAGUGUUUUUCUGGGAAAAAGCUGUUAAUUAGGCAGCAUUUCUGAGGCCCAGGGUGAUGGCAUGGCUGUUUUGAUGCAAGGACCGGGGGGGGGGGACCCCCAUCGCAGUAGAAGUUCCCCACUGGGAAACUACCUUCCUGGUGUGAGGAGUGUGGUGUCUGCUCCUGUCUUGGUUCAGGGUGGACAGAGCCAAUCGAUCAUGGCGGCCAUCUCCUUAGAACUCACACCUACCUUGGCUGUUUUCAAAAGGCCAUUGUUGGUCUCCGGGUCCGUGGUGACAGUGUAGAGGCCUGCUCUGUCUUUCAGGAUGGAAAACACUGCCUUCCAUGCUGGAGAGCCUGGGGCAUCUUCUCUCUUCACCUUCAGUCUCACUAUCCCUGCAUCCACCUUGUUUUCAAACACCUGGCCCGUGUACUGCAAGAGAAGGACACAGACACUCAUUCCUGACAUCCUGUGUGGGGACCUGGGAAGCAGCCUGUGGCAGCCUCAAGGGAUCUUCAGCAGGAUGGGCCAUGAUAGAAGGGUCUUUUCUUGAAGCGGGUGUCUGUUGGCCUGAGCGACAGUGAGGGGCACCUGCAAAGGCCCUGCUCAGUACCCUGGAUGUGUGCGUCAGCGGUGGGGCUUCCACCAGCUCAGUGGCUACUUUCACUCUGUGCCAAAGGGACGGGAAAGGUGAAACCAUGUCGCCUAGCUCCUGAAGCUUGGAUCCCAAAGUGUGCAUCAGCCUAGGAGGAUAUGUCCCCAUGGCCAAGUGUAGCCAUUCCAGGCUCUGUUCUCAGGUUGCAGCCACCGUGAGAAGCUCCUCAGAUCCCAGCUGAGGCCAUUAGCCCCGCAGGCUCAGGAGCCAAGCGAGAAGUUGGACCUAGAGUGGCUCCUCCAGCCUGUCCCCCGCACCUCGCUGUCAGGUCACUUCUGACUCAGUCUCCAUGGGGAGCAAGUGUCUCCGUCUUACAUCUUGCACACGAGACUGUUAGGAGGGCUCUGCUGGAAUACCUUCCAGGCUCAGGUGUGACCCUGACUCCAGCCCUAGUCACCUUGGGAGGGACGCUGGGCUUAUUGCCCAGGACUCUGUGGAUGAUAUGGUAACGUCUACAACUGUCUCUACAUUUCGGUUAUAGGGAAUUCAGGCAUGUGAGCCUCUGCUGUUCUCUGUCUCUUUGUAUCCUGGCAUACCUGUCUUGGGAACAAAGGACAGAGAAGGAUGGGCUUCCUAAUUGUAGCACGUCCAGCAAUGGGUUCAAAAGAGUUAACUCAAUUAUUUUUCGGAUACAUCUUCCAGAGUAGAGACAGUGUGCUCUCCGAGGCCAGACUGGUUCCAAUUCCAGCCUAUGAAUGAAUUCCUAUUAGCACCUUCCUGUACGUUAUUUACUGUGGUCCUCAUAUACCCCCAGAGGACAAAAUCACUGCCCCCCCUUUCCAUAGAUGAUAAACACAGGGAGGUCAGACAACUUCUUCUCCAUUCAACAAGGCUAACUGAUCUGUAUUGCUGUCAGGGUAGCACCAGUGGGAGCAGACAGACCCUAAUCUGUACUGCAGUUUAGGAGAUCAGGGCUACUGUCACCUCUGAUUUUGGUGAGGGGCACAGAAACACUAAGGUCACAGCUACAGGACUGAGAAGGGGAUGCUUGGGACCUAAAUCCAAGGCCCACUGCCUUGAGCACAUCCCUGGACUUUAUGCCAAGGGUCUGGCCCAUUUCCCCUGAGAGAAAGCAGCUCAGAGCCUGGGGCUCUAGACACCCAGGUGACCACCCUGUCACCAUUCCCGGUGGCCUGAGCAGGGCCAGCCCAUGGAAUCCAGACCCCACGUCCCUGGGCUUAAGCCAGGUGACCACCAAACAGGUAGGCCUUGGUUAAACCCUUCAAGGCCUGCAGGCUUUGCCUGGAACCUUCCUCAUGACUCUCCUAUGGCAUUGGGCUGCUUAAGAGUGGGCAAGGGGGUCCAGCCUAAUGGGGUCAGUGCCAGUCAUUCUGUUAUUCUCACUGUGUGAUGCCCUGCUCUGUAAUCCCUGCUACCUAAACAAAUUCCAGCCAGGGGUGGCCACAUACCACGUUCUGGCUGGUGGGGUCAAAGUGCAAGUCUACCUGGUGGAGGUUAUGGUAAAAAGACACCAGGCAUGGCUCUCGAUCUCUUCCCUCCCUCUUCUAACUGGAUCAGUGGUCUGGUAUAGCAGCCACCACGAAGACAAAACUCACAAGCUAAGGAAGAUGGAACAAAAAGAAGGAAUCUGUGUCCCUGUGUUGCCGCUUGGUGUGCCCGGAAGCUGGGGCCUUCUGUGUCUGGAUUGUGUUACAUAGAGCAAUAACCCAGUCAUGGUUUUAAGCCAA